AUGGCGGUGAUGAUUGGCGCAGGGGUACGGACCUCAGCUGCGUGAUGGGAGCUGAGUGCGGGCUGGUCGUGCCGGUGCAGCUGGCGUGGGGCUGGCUCACUGGCAGCAGCCCUGCACGAGACUUCGCCAGAGACUGAGCCAU
rnacentral:snoRNA from 1 species